GUCUAUGGCCAUACUACCCUGAACAAGUCCGAUCCCGUGAUCUCGAAAGCUAAGCAGGGUCAGGCCUGGUUAGUACUUGGAUGGGAGACCACCUAGAAGACCAGGUGUUGUAUGUG
rnacentral:rRNA from 1 species